GGGGGCGCACUGGUUUCGACUCAUUGUUGGAAACGCAGGCGGCAUGUCGAGGAUGGUUCGUUGGCCUCGUUAAAAUCCGGACCAAAACAAAUAAACGCAGAUCACCAAGAUCUCGCUCUCGCGGCUUAAUUGACCGCGAUGUUUCCGGCUAGACGCCUGCUAUGGUCGGGAACAUGGACAGCAGGCUAAUCGUCGGGCGGAGCGACCGCGUCUGGCGGUGAAAGGAUUUCGUGGACGCUCGGGGGCCGGCAGUGUGCCGGUGCAAAGUUCGGCUCCCUAAAUAAAUUGCCGGCUACACAUGUAGAAGCUUGCGUAGAUAGCUUCGAGGACAGGGGUUCAACUCCCCUCGCCUCCACCU
rnacentral:tmRNA from 1 species